rnacentral:rRNA from 1 species
GUGAGGAAUAUUGGUCAAUGGGCGAGAGCCUGAACCAGCCAAGUCGCGUGAAGGAAGAAGGAUCUAUGGUUCGUAAACUUCUUUUGCAGGGGAAUAAAGUGCGGGACGUGUCCUGUUUUGUAUGUACCCUGAGAAUAAGGAUCGACUAACUCCGUGCCAGCAGCCGCGGUAAUACGGAGGAUCCGAGCGUUAUCCGGAUUUAUUGGGUUUAAAGGGUGCGUAGGUGGUUUGAUAAGUCAGCGGUGAAAGUUUGCAGCUUAACUGUAAAAAUGCCGUUGAAACUGUCGGACUUGAGUGUAAAUGAGGUAGGCGGAAUGCGUGGUGUAGCGGUGAAAUGCAUAGAUAUCACGCAGAACUCCGAUUGCGAAGGCAGCUUACUAAGCUACAACUGACACUGAAGCACGAAAGCGUGGGGAUCAAACAGGAUUAGAAACCCGGGUAGUCC